GUGGCGAACUGGAACCCCGAGUGGCCGAGUGUAUGACCUGUUCGCCGGACGAUUCCUUUCACUUCCUCUCAGUCUUUCAGACUUUUACCUUCUCUACUUCUCUCAGAGAUCAAGGUAACCUACUUCUGUCAGUCUCCCUCUUCAAUUCCAGGCAAUCAAUCAAUUCAAUUGGAUUGAAGAUUUCGUGGUCAAAUAAACAUUGCGGUCGAAAUCAAUUGCUCUGAUUAGGGAUAAAAAGGUUAAACCUUUAACACCAAGGGAAGCUCCGAAGUUGGGUAUGCAAUUCAGCUAUCUGACAAAACCGUUCUUGGCUUCUUGAUGUUCGUCCCUCACUCCCUCUACGUACAGAGCACAAUAAGAUAGGGAGUGAAAUCAUGGAUGAGAGCGGCAUGCGAUUCAGUGAACCGAAUUACCAUGGUUGGUCUGUAGAUGAGGAUGACUUUUCAGAUGAGUACGAAGAGUUAUUCUCGGAUGAGGAAGCUUCGCAGAGUGCAAAUAUGGAUGAGAAUCUGGAUUGUCUACACUUCAAUGGCAAGAAGUAUGAAGAUCUUAGAUCCUCUGAUAUGAUUGGUGUUGAGUUUAGCAGCAUCAAGGCAGUGGACACAUUCUAUGCUUACUAUUCACUUGCCAUGGGCUUCAGUUUCCGAAAGGAAAAGUUGUGUCGAAAUGCAGCACGAGUGGUGGUGAGAAGACAGUUAGUGUGUUCAAAGGAGGGUGAGAGGAAAAAAAGGGGCAAGCCUGAUCCUAGUUUUGCAUCAGAAAUCAUUUCAUGCGCCCAAAAUCUUAGUGAACCUCAUGGGACAAAACCGGUCUGCAAGAGGAAGACAGUUAACCAGAAACCAAUCGUGGAAGAUGCUGAUACAAGAAGUAUGAAACGUUCUGGGAAGCAGUUUGGUGAUGGUGAACAUGAAAAAAAAAGGCAGCGCCCUCCACAAAGAAAUAUUACCAGAGGUAAUUGUCAAGCCCGUAUCACAGCACGCCGAUGCAAGGAAAGUGGUGUCUUCCGUGUGGUCCAAUUCAUCACCGAACAUAACCACGACCUUGCUACAACAGAGUUUGUUCCCUUCCUUCGAUCCCACCGCAAGGUUCGGGACCAUGACGUUGCUCAGGUAACAGCACUUAAGAAAGUCUCUGUUGGUACAUGCCGGGCUUAUGAGUUGUUGGUCCACCAAGCCGGGGGACAUGAAUUUGUUGGUUUCCUCAUAAAAGAUUUGUAUAACAAGAUGGACUCUGAAAGGAAGGAACUCAUGGUUGAUGGUGACGCCCAGUCUACAAUUAGUUUCAUGAAUUUGAAAGCAUCUAAAGAGGCGGAGUUUUUCUGUUUGUUCAGUGUUGAUGCCGAAGGCCGGCUGGGUAAUAUGUUUUGGAGAGAUACCAAGUCUCUAGCAGAUUACAAUAAUUUUGGGGAUGUUUUGAUUAUUGAUAGCACCUACAAGACCAACAUAUACGACAAACCAUUAGCCGUCUUCGUUGGUGCAAAUAACCACAGGGCGACAGUACUCUUUGGGUGUGCAUUGUUGGCUGAUGAGAGUGAGGACACCUACAAUUGGGUGGUUACGGCCUUUUUGACUUCCAUGAAGGGAAAAAAACCAAUAUCAGUCCUCACUGACGGGGACGAAGCAUUGAGAAAUGCAGUUGUGAAUCUCAUUCCGGAGGCCCGACAUCGAUUGUGUGCAUGGCACAUUGCUAAGAAUGUUGUUAAAAAUGUUAGGGAUGCGGAUGUCCAAAGGGACUUUUGCCACCUAAUUUUUGCCGGACUCGGAGUUGAUGAGUGGGAAAAGUCGUGGCAUUACAUGGUGACAAUGAAUGGGCUUCAAGACAACAAAUGGGUUGCUGCAAUGUACAACAAGAGGGAGAGGUGGGCAGAGGCUUUCUUUAGGAACCAUUUCUUCGGUGGUAUGUGUACCACUCAAAGAUGCGAGGCAAUGCACAGAAAUUUAAAAGGUGGGGUUGGUCGUUACAUGAGGUUGUGUGAAGUGUUGCCACGCAUGGACAAGACAAUUGAACGCAUCAGGUUUAAUGGGCUUAACGAUGACUUCAAAUCAAUGAACUCGCACCCGGUUAUUGGCAGCCACAUGCGGUGUAUUCAACAGCAGGUUAGUGCAAGGUUUACCCACGACGUAUUCCUCCUCAUAAAAGAUCAAAAUCUUUUUGAGUCAAAGUUUCUCGUUGCUGACCGUGUUCGUUAUGAGAAUCAAGGAUCAACACUUCAUCUUGUAACCCAAUAUGGUAAACCUGAAAGGACAUGGCAUGUGACACAUUAUCAAGGUAAGCCCAACCUUUCUUUCGUAUGCUCAUGUCACCUCUUUGAGUCGGAUGGUAUUCCUUACUGCCACAUCUUCACAGUCAUGAAGACAAUGAAUAUGACUACCCUUCCAGAAUCUUUGGUUAAUCAGAGGUGGAUAAAACAGGCUUGUACCAAAAAUACCAGCACCCUCAGUAGUGGAAUAAUGCCCGCCAAGGAUUUGCAGCUUGCCCGUUAUGGGCAAAUGAUGGGUGAUUGUGCUCAAAUCUGUCAUUCAGCUUCAUUCUCAGAUGAGGCAUAUGAAGAAAUCACUCACUGUCUUAGUCGACUAAUGGUUAGGUCCAAAACAUUCAAGAGAUGCAAAGAUAGUCAGCCACCAGAAACUGUUGAUGGUCUACACCCUAAUGUGAUUAGGGAUCCGAACGUGUGCAAAACCAAGGGCACACAUUCCAGGCAUUCCACCAGUGUUGAGGUUGAGAGGGAUCAGCCAGGAGGGAGGGGUUGUGGAUUUUGCAGCCGGCCAGGUCAUAAUGUACGCACUUGUGCACUGCUAGCUGCACAAAAUGGGGGGGGAAAAGGAUGAACCUCGUCUCCAAAGAGCACGGAACACCUCCAUUGAUGCUAGCUUGCAGUCUAUUCCGGGUUCCAACAGAUACAAGGGUCCAGCUGGUUUCACAAACAUUGGUCAGACUGAUGAGGAUGAUGCUUUCCUCAAUCAAACUAGCAGUCAACAUAUGUUGCAUCAUGUUGAAGAAUCUAGGACGUUUGAUUUUUUUACCGGUCACGACACCUUUUUGGCUUCCUUGAGUGCUCCAUCUGCAAAUCUAAAUGGUGGGAACACAUUCGUGCAGCCUUUCUGAGCAUCAAUUGCAGAUCAAUUGGGAUUCCACUGCUUCAGAUUAAUGUCAGUUGAAGGGUUCCAGUCAGGGUCAAAGAUGAGCACCCUAUUUGGAAACAAAAAUAAUACACAAGGAUACCACAAAGUCUAUGAAAACAGUAGCACUAGAUAAACUGAUAAAGUGAUGCCAAAACUGAAAAUAUAACUACCACAACAACCAAACAAAAACAAAAUAAAAACGACCCUGUUUUGGGUAUGGGCUCUCACAAUAAAUUACUCAAACUGUCAUUUAAUUAAUACUUAAGACCAAGAUAUAACCUAGACGUCCUUCGACACAUGAUCUCGCCGCUUACGGUGGCUACGAAACUUUCUUCCGGUUGGUGGAAGAAGAAUAUUUUUGAAUAGCUCACUUUCACCUAUUGGCGGCAUCGAAGCUCCUGCUGCUGCUCCAAUCAAUAUUUGACGGUGUUCAUUCCUUGGAUGAAGAACAAUUUCAAGUGCCAAUCGAGUACGCUGGUCCUCCGAAUGAAACUGACACCAAAGUACAAAAAGUAAAUAUUUAAUCAGUCUAUUGCAUCAAAAAAGUCGUUAGGUAAGUUGCGGUACUAACCGUUGUUGACCACAUGCCACGGUAGUACUGCAUGUGCCUUAUAACAAAUACCCCGCUCUCAGAUUUUUGUUCAUGCGUUGGGUUAAAGUCCGAAAAGUUAAGAGUGAAUGAUGGAAAAUGAUAAAAUUUGGCGUUUGACCAUGU